rnacentral:hammerhead_ribozyme from 1 species
AUCCAGCUGAUGAGUCCUAAAAUAGGACGAAACAUUUGUCCUAGAU